UACGUAGGUGGCAAGCGUUGUCCGGAUUUACUGGGCGUAAAGAGCGCGCAGGCGGUCGUUCAAGUCGCGUGUGAAAGCCCCCGGCUCAACUGGGGAGGGUCACGCGAUACUGAUCGACUCGAAGGCAGGAGAGGGUAGUGGAAUUCCCGGUGUAGUGGUGAAAUGCGUAGAUAUCGGGAGGACACCAGUGGCGAAGGCGACACGCUGGGCCGUACCUGACACUGAUGCGCGACAGCAUGGGGAGCAAACAGG
rnacentral:rRNA from 1 species